rnacentral:rRNA from 1 species
UACGUAGGCAGCGAGCGUUGUUCGGAUUUAUUGGGCGUAAAGAGCGUGUAGGCGGCCAAGCAGGUCCGCUGUGAAAACUCGAGGCUCAACCUCGAGAGGUCGGUGGAAACCGUUUGGCUAGAGUCCGGAAGAGGAGAGUGGAAUUCCCGGUGUAGCGGUGAAAUGCGCAGAUAUCGGGAAGAACACCCGUGGCGAAGGCGGCUCUCUGGGACGGUACUGACGCUGAGACGCGAAAGCGUGGGGAGCGAACAGG